GCCUGCGGCCACACCACCUUGAAUAAGUCUGAUCUCAGAAGCUAAGCAACGUUGGGCUUGGUUAGUACUUGGAUGGGAGACCACCUGGGAAUAUCAAGUGCUGUAGGCAUU
rnacentral:rRNA from 1 species